rnacentral:ncRNA from 1 species
CCUUAUUUGGAAUCAAGAUGUUUUGGUUAAGGGAUGCAACACCGCUAUCGAUCAAGGGAUACCUAAGAUAGCCAGUGAACGACCCAGAUCCGAAAUGACGUAAUAAGUCACGAUGCUACAGCUGCUAGGCAUUGAGUAAGGCGAAUGAUAAUACGGUCUGGGAGGUACUACUGAGGUGGAUGUUUUAAGACUCUGCAAAUGAACUUAGAGCACUAACAGUACCGCGUAGGG